rnacentral:rRNA from 1 species
GACGAACGCUGGCGGCGUGCUUAACACAUGCAAGUCGAGCGGAAAGGCCUCUUCGGGGGUACUCGAGCGGCGAACGGGUGAGUAACACGUGAGUAAUCUGCCUCUGGCUUCGGGAUAGCCACCGGAAACGGUGAUUAAUACCGGAUACGACACAUCACUGCAUGGUGCGUGUGUGGAAAGUUUUUUCGGCCAGGGAUGUGCUCGCGGCCUAUCAGCUUGUUGGUGGGGUAAUGGCCUACCAAGACUUCGACGGGUAGCCGGCCUGAGAGGGUGACCGGCCACACUGGGACUGAGACACGGCCCAGACUCCUACGGGAGGCAGCAGUGGGGAAUAUUGCGCAAUGGGCGGAAGCCUGACGCAGCGACGCCGCGUGGGGGAUGACGGCCUUCGGGUUGUAAACCUCUUUCAGCAGGGAAGAAGCGUGAGUGACGGUACCUGCAGAAGAAGCACCGGCUAACUACGUGCCAGCCGCCGCGGUAAAAC